rnacentral:rRNA from 1 species
AUUGAACGCUGGCGGCAUGCUUUACACAUGCAAGUCGAACGGUAACAGGGUGCUUGCACCGCUGACGAGUGGCGAACGGGUGAGUAAUGCGUCGGAACGUGCCGAGUAGUGGGGGAUAACGCAGCGAAAGUUGUGCUAAUAGCGCAUACGUACUGAGGUAGAAAGUGGGGGACCUUCGGGUCUCACGCUAGUAGCGCGGCCGACGUCUGAUUAGCUAGUAGGUGAGGUAAAGGCUCACCUAGGCGACGAUCAGUAGCGGGUCUGAGAGGAUGAUCCGCCACACUGGGACUGAGACACGGCCCAGACUCCUACGGGAGGCAGCAGUGGGGAAUUUUGGACAAUGGGCGAAAGCCUGAUCCAGCCAUGCCGCGUGUCUGAAGAAGGCCUUCGGGUUGUAAAGGACUUUUGUCAGGGAGGAAAUCCCUAGUGCUAAUAACACUGGGGGAUGACAGUACCUGAAGAAUAAGCACCGGCUAACUACGUGCCAGCCGCCGCGGUAACAC